GGCUGUAGCUGGUUUUAUGAGAUAUCACGGUGCUGUGUCAUGCACCUGUGUAGCUGAGAGCAGAAUGUUCGCUGCGGAGAUGGAAAAAAAAAAAACAGGCACUGGAAGGGAUAUAAGCACAGUCCCCUUUUGUUAGCAAUGAAAGUGGAGCACAUGGCCUGGAGUAACUUUCUGAAAGAUCAUUGAAAGAAACUCACGAGUUUCUACUUUAUACCCGUAUCCUUUAAUCUUUUAGCUAAAAUUUCAUGUACCCAACGAAGUAACCGGAUUUAUUUUGCUUCCCACCAGCCAAGAUGUUAACCGGACCCUUCAGCUUUCCCUCUGCUCUCUGCCUUUAACCUGGGCCAAUUAGGUUGGGAACUACACUGCAGCAUGGCCUCGAAACAACACGCUUGCUCAGAAUUGUCCUUCGAAUGCUGCUGUUCUCCCACGGGAAUCGGAAAUCCCAGGGCCUGCAUGCUUAACCCUUUCCACACCAUGGACACGCCUCAGGUUCUAAAGAGCAAAGCAUGUCACUCAGGCAGACCAUGACCUUGGCUCCUAAUCCGGAAGGCCAGUUUCAGGGAUGCCCACGUGGAGAAGAGAAAAUGACCAGAGAACAAGUGUGCUCACAGCCCUUGUGGGAAUAAUCGUGCCCACCUGGGGGGCUUUUCUGAAGACACUCAGAGCCGACUAAGAUAGGGGAGCGGUCUUGUUUUCUUUGGUGGCUCAUCUCUGCCUCUGUUUCUCCAUCAGAUCACAGUGAAAGCUGUAGCCCACAGUGUUGCUCACGAUUUCAGAGGAGAAUUGAAAAUGAGGAGGAAUGGAAUAUUCGCAAGUGUCUACUUGUCAACAAAGCGUGCCAGGUGUGUUCUCUCAUCUCCGGGGAUCAGCAGCUUCCUGUAAUCUCCCUUUAUGCCUUUCAUUCACUCUAAUCACAAGGAUUUUACAAGAGGCCCUCCUUGACCCCAGGCAUGAGCUCGGCCCUUUAUUUGUAAGUGAACUCAGCAGUGUUCACUUAACACUUUUAAGGAUCUGCGCCCAGGGAAGGGGAAGCGUGGUCAGACAGCAGGCUCUCUGAACUCACCUUUCUGGACAAAGAUCUCCCUAGGCAUUGUACACGCCUCCUUCUUUUCUUUCCCCUUGAGCUGUCCGGGUUUCACAGCAAGUUAUAAAGCGAAGAGCCUCACCUGCCUUUGAGACCACCUCCCCUUGGCCCAGCUCAGUAGCUGGUCCUCAGCAACCUGAGCGGCUCACUUGGGAGGCUGCAUGGCCGAGCAGGCGAAGCACUUACAGUGGAAGCGAGGCCUGUGAUGCUGUCAACUUGCUUCUUAACCCUAGGAUGCUGUGAGAAUUAAAUUACAUAGUAGCUGCAAAAUAAUUUGGCUUUCUUGGAGUUGGACACCACCUGAACCUGAGUGAAAUGAUUGUGCACUUCUUAAUGGCCUCCAUCUCUGGCCAAGCUGCCUUGGGACCAGAACAAUCAUCUAAGUCCCAGUUUCCAGCCUAAAACAGCAUGAGGACAAGGCCAGGAGGCCACAGCAAGGCUGUAAUCAGAACCCACAAGGAUUGCAUGGAGAUGCUGCAGUGCCGCCACCACCCAACGGCCGGAGCCCCCAGCAAAGAGUUUUCCACAAAAUGGGAGAAAAGUAUAAGAAGCUCUUCCUGCUAUGGGGAAACAAGGCAACUCAGAGGACUGAGAGACUCAGGACUUCCAGACAGAGGAUCAGGCGUACCUCAUGCAUGGGUGUUUUGGAAGAAGGCCAUUUUGAAACCUACUCUGUAUCAUUACAGACUUUCAGUGAAUUAAUUUAGAAUAAAUCCACCUCCUUCCCUGUAUGUGGUAGAAUUUCACUGGGAUACAACGUGAGGACAGAGAUUUGAACCCUCAGUCCCACUUAUGAUGCGGGGCUUCAGGGGCACCACGGACAUGCUCCGCAUUCACCCAUCUGUGGGGGAGGACUAAGGAAGCUGCGCUGGUGUGUGAGAAAGUAAUGGGCUCUUUUAAGCCCUUUUACUUAAAGCAAUAAAAGAAUAACUGCGUCAUCUGCUGGAGUAAAAGUUUUCAACAGAUGACCGGCUUGGUUCUUAAAACACACACACACACACACACACACACACGAGGAGUGAACCACACAGCAUGCAAAUGAGAGGAACAAACGCUUUUGUUUGUUGGAGAUUAAUUUUUAUGGAAAGUUGUACAUUGCAGAUUGCAAUCAACCUGACACAUUCUCUCCCUCCUGCUCCUUCUCUCAGUUGGCUUUGAGGAGAGGCACUUCCAAGUUUGAGAAUUCAUCUUGUCUGAUUAAUGAUGUGUACACAGAGAUUUCAGUCUCAUCUUCCUUCUCUGGGUCCUUUUUAUUCAGUUGUUUGCUGUGCUACAACCCUGCGGAUAGAUGGUUCUGCCGUGAUAAAUGUAAAGUUUGCAUAAGCCAUGUAACAGCAGGACAGCCUAUUAUCACCGUACAUUUUCCAUGGCUGUGCAAACCUCUGUAGGCUAUUUUAUUGCUAAUAGAUCCACAGAGAAACAGUAGUGAUUUUACGACUCUUUUUAAAAUGGAAAUUCAUGUUUGAGAAAUACAACUGGGAGGAAACAGAUGUAAACCACUUAAGCAUUUGCAGAAAAUUGAGAUGCACACUCUUAUUUACAGACCUACAUAGCCUCCAUCGCUUUAUUUUCAAAAUUAAAAUAAGCAAUCUGUUUACCAUGGGAAAUGAUGAACUGUAAACUUGUUGUUUUUCCUUUUACAUGGCAAUGGCCGCCAUCGUUGGGUUUAAUGGCAGAACUGAAGCAGGCAGCGUGGCAAUUUUUUCCCCUUAGGUUUUAUUGUCUGUAAUGCAUUCCCUCUGUAAUCUGCGCGAGAGGUAGGUAAGUGGGAAAGAUUUUCGUGUAACUGUAUGUCUGAAUUCACAUUAUGCUUGAACAGCUAAAAUGAUUACCAGACACAUUAGAAAGAUUUUAACCAGGUAUUUAACACUAUCUGUAAAUUGCUUAAAAUACUGGAAGAGUCAACCUCCACAAAAACGCUUUCACAUGGCCAAACACAAAAGCACAACCCAUCCAAAAACAUUUAUUCUGGCCUCGUCCCAACUUUCUCACAUCUUUUGGAGUUGUGACAAAUGUCACAUGUUGGAAAGGAGAUACAAAUGGAAGCAUCACAAAACAAUAUAGCAAUGAGAAGUCUGUCCACCAGACUCAUCAGAGCAAGCUCCUUGUGGCAUGUGGAAGCUCCUCUGGUUUUUAAUUUCAGCAUUGAUCUUUUUUUUUUUUUUUUUUUUUAGGUCUAGAACUACAUUUUUUGUUGCGGCAAAAUAUAUGCAACACAAAAUUGACCGUUUUAACCAUUUCUAAGUAUACAAUUCAGUGGCAUGAAAUGCAUUCACAUUGUCGUGCAACCAGCACCACCAUCCAGCUCCAGAACUUCAUCACAGACUGAAACUCUGUACCCAUGAAAGCAAAGACUCGCCAUUUCCCCCUCUUCUCCCAGCCCCUAGUAAUUUCUAUUCUACCUUCUGGCUGUAUGAAUUUGCCUAUCCUAGGCACCUCAUAUAAGUGGAAUUAUACAGUACUUGUCCCUUUGUAACUAGCUUAUUUCACUUAGCAUAAUGUCCUCAGGGUUCACCCAUGUUGUAGCAUGUAUCAGAAUGUCUUUCCUUUCUAAGGCUGAAUAAUAUUCCAUGGUGUGUAUAUACCACAUUUUGUUUAUCUGCCCUGUGUGGCUAGUCCUGGGAUUUUAAUAUUGAGGAGGUAUCCCCAUCAACCCGGGGAUGGAAGUGGCCUGCUUAUUCGUGAGCACUGCAAAGCAGGACGGCUAAGGAGAAUGAGAGGCGUCCAGACUAGGUCUGCAGAAUCAGGCAGGGAGGGCUCCUGGAAACUAUAGGUUUCUGGUCUCUGUAUAACAAUCACCAGCUGUGGGAAUAUUUUGCUUUCAUCCUUAAGCUUUGUUUUAAAUGUCAAAGGAGACUAAGCUAGACCCUCUUAGGAACUGAAAUUUUUCUCGGAGACAAGAUAUGAUGGACUUCGGCCCAAAGUCAGAUAACAGAAUGUGUUUCCAACCCCAUGCCUCCCCAAGCCACUCACUGCCACUGGGGAAGGCACUCGGGAGACUCCCUGAUCAUGGCCCUUGGAUUGCAUCAAAUGAGGCACAGCCACAGUGAGCAGGCUCUGAGCUCACUCACUCUUGGUGGAAACCAUACUAUAUGGAGA
rnacentral:lncRNA from 1 species